rnacentral:lncRNA from 1 species
GAAAACGUCAGAGCGCUAGACAGGAAGACUUGCAUGCCCGAGGUACAACUAUACGAGUUGAAAAUCAGUAAAGCAGCAGAAGUGAGGAGUCUAAGGUUUUUGCAGCGCUUCCCACCCCCAUGCACGUGUAAAUUUCAUUUGUAAUAAAUCUUCUGGUGUUUGGUAGUCUGGCCUACAUAUGCAAACUCUUGUAAACCAGGAUACGUUUUUAAAGCUGUAAAUGGAAGCAGCUGUUAAGCUCUCUCUAAGGAUGAAGUUUUUCAGCUGCCUGAGCCCGCUCCUUUCGCCUUUGGACACGCAGCAAAUUGUGGACGUUAAAAUCACAGGACCAUUCAAGAUUUCUUUAUGUACAUUGCUGGAUGCUGAAGAGGACAGAGGAACAAUGCUUUUGACUGAUUAUGGUUGAUGUACGUGACUUCAACAAUCAUAAUGUGAGUACUACCCAUGGGAAGCCCUGUGCUUUGGGAGAAAAUUGUUUAUUACAAAAUGAAUAACCUGAAACAGAAACAGAACUUUUACACUUUCAGACAUAAACUACAGUUAACCUAAGGGUAAAAUCUCAGUGUUUAAAAGCAUUUCAAGACAAUGAAUUUGCAAUUGUCUUUUCUUGCUUGGAAACAGCAAAUAUGGGUAUUUGAUCUAUUGAUUUGGAUGCUUUCCUGUAAUUAGAAAUAUCCCAGUGUAACAUAUACAGCUCCAUGCUGUUAAUCUUUUAAAAUCAGUUGUAAAUUUAAUUAGCCCUGAUUUCUCUUAUGACAUUUUUGUGGUUUGUAAUCAUUUAGCAUCUUGCUACAUCUUUAGAUCUUUU